rnacentral:lncRNA from 1 species
UUGUUCUGUGAACAUUCAGCAAAGCACAGAUGAUGUGAUGUUGCAGUUCUGUGGGAAUAUGUUGAUUUAACUUAAUUGAGGCUUUCCCGGAAGUGGAACCAACCAGCCAACCAACCAAUCCCCCCAAAAGGACAAAGGAAAGGAUGACUUAAGAUAAGGUACCUGCAAAUCCAGAUUAUCAUCACAAUACAGUAUACCAGCAGUUUAUUUCAUACUUAACCAGUAGGAAUUAUUUUGCAAACAAGUCCCUCUCCUUUGUCCAUACAUUGUCU